rnacentral:rRNA from 1 species
AGUGAACGCUGGCGGCGUGCCUAAUACAUGCAAGUCGAACGGAGUGGCGCACGGGUGCGUAAUAUAUAGCUAAUCUGCCCCUUGCUGGAGGACCACAGUUAGAAAUGACUGCUACUACUCCAUAGCAAGGGAUGAGACUAUAUCGUCUCCGCUAGGCGGUGGGGUAACGGCCUACCGAGGCUAUGACGCGUAACUGGUCUGAGAGGAGGAUCAGUCACAUUGUAACUGAGACACGGUCCAAACUCCUACGGGAGGCAGCAGUAGGGAAUAUUGCGCAAUGGGGGAAACCCUGACGCAGCAACGCCGCGUUGAGGAUGACGGCCUUCGGGUUGUAAAGCUCUGUUAAUCGGGACGCGGUACCGGAAUAGAAAGCCACGGCUAACUACGUGCCAGCAGCCGCGGUAAUUC